UACAUUAUGCUCCGACAAGUUACUGUACAUGUAAAAGGUAGAAACGGGGCGGCCUGCGGGAGAUUAGCACCGGCAACUGGUGCCCACGAUUUUAUCGGAGGAGGAGGAGGAGG